UACGUAGGGAGCAAGCGUUUGUCCGGAAUCAUUGGGCGUAAAGCGCGCGUAGGUGGCUUCGUAAGUCCGUUGUGAAAGUCAAAGGCUCAACCUUUGAAUGCCGAUGGAUACUGCGGAGCUAGAGUACGGAAGAGGCGAGUGGAAUUCCUGGUGUAGCGGUGGAAUGCGCAGAUAUCAAGGAGGAACACCAAUAGCGAAGGCAGCUCGCUGGGACGUUACUGACACUAAGGCGCGAAAGCGUGGGGAGCGAACAGG
rnacentral:rRNA from 1 species